UAGCCCGUAACUCAGUUGACAGAGCAGUAGGAUGGUUUCCCACGGUCCUGGGUUCAAGUCCCAGCGGUUUGC